UGGGGAAUUUUGGACAAUGGGCGCAAGCCUGAUCCAGCCAUGCCGCGUGCAGGAUGAAGGCCUUCGGGUUGUAAACUGCUUUUGUACGGAACGAAAAGACUCUGGUUAAUACCUGGGGUCCAUGACGGUACCGUAAGAAUAAGCACCGGCUAACUACGUGCCAGCAGCCGCGGUAAUACGUAGGGUGCGAGCGUUAAUCGGAAUUACUGGGCGUAAAGCGUGCGCAGGCGGUUAUAUAAGACAGAUGUGAAAUCCCCGGGCUCAACCUGGGAACUGCAUUUGUGACUGUAUAGCUAGAGUACGGCAGAGGGGGAUGGAAUUCCGCGUGUAGCAGUGAAAUGCGUAGAUAUGCGGAGGAACACCGAUGGCGAAGGCAAUCCCCUGGGCCUGUACUGACGCUCAUGCACGAAAGCGUGGGGAGCAAACAGGAUUAGAUACCCUCGUAGUCCCUGAGCGGGCUGGCAAGGCGCAU
rnacentral:rRNA from 1 species